CAGUCGCCGCGGGAAUACGGAGGGGGCUAGCGUUGUUCGGAAUUACUGGGCGUAAAGCGCACGUAGGCGGCUUUGUAAGUUAGAGGUGAAAGCCUGGAGCUCAACUCCAGAAUUGCCUUUAAGACUGCAUCGCUUGAAUCGCGGAGAGGUGAGUGGAAUUCCGAGUGUAGAGGUGAAAUUCGUAGAUAUUCGGAAGAACACCAGUGGCGAAGGCGGCUCACUGGACGCGUAUUGACGCUGAGGUGCGAAAGCGUGGGGAGCAAACAGGAUUAGAUACCCGAGUAGUCCCUGUCUCUUAUAA
rnacentral:rRNA from 1 species